rnacentral:tRNA from 1 species
GGGGUAGCUCAGUGGUAGAGUGCUUGCCUAGCAAGCGCAAGGCCCUGGGUUCAGUCCCCAGCUCC